rnacentral:snRNA from 1 species
AUACUUACCUGACGCGAGAGGCACCUUGAUCAACUAGGAGGUCCUCUCAGGAUGAGGCCCUUUCAUUGCACUUCGAAUGGGUUGACUCCUGCGAUUACCCCUAAUGUGGGUAACUCGAGCGUAUAAUUUCUGGUAGUGGGGACCUGCGUUCGCGCUCGUCCCCU